GCCAAAGCAAAAACUGUAUUUACCGAAUGCAUCGAAUAUGAUUCCUCCACAGCACAAUCCUUCCUCAACUUUUACCAACUGAAGUGUCAUUCUAGGUCCAACUUCUUGAAGUUUGACAGCACUCUUACUUGAUGCCUUAUUAACUCUUCCAA